UAGGGUCAUAAUUAGGGUUAGGGUCAUUAGUGCUUGGAGAGAGAGAAAGUGUAGAGUCCUGUUGUGUGUGCAGUUGUGUAAAGGCUCCCAAAGGGAGUUCAGGUCUAGCAAAAGGCUUCCAUUGUGAGCACUUUUUGAUGGGAGAAAUUGGCGAUGUUGGUGUUGGGUUAGGGUCAUAAUUGGGGUUAGGUUUAGGGUUACGUUUAGGGGAUUUUGUUACAAUA